ensembl:lncRNA
UGUGUGUGUGUGUGUGUGUGUGUGUAUAAUUUUUUUUUGUCAGCUCUGGAAUCACAAUCAAGAUAAAGAUGAAAGCAGAGUACUGAUUUUUUUUUUUUUUACAAAAUAAAAAAAACAAAACAAACAAAACCAAUUCGAUUUAUGCCUGAAAUGUUUCUUCAUUUUUUUUUUUGACUCAUUCUCACAGCCUGCUCCUGUCAGUCUCUAAACUGUAACCUUAUCUGGCACCUGCUAGCUGUGAACCGUGAUUUAUGCUAAGAGCUACCGAGCUCUUCCAUCUGUAAACGCACAUUGUUGCAGGGAAAACAGCCAUGACCGGGGCAGGAAAUGCAGUGAAUUCAUUUGCGUCUCCAGCCAUUGUGACAGAAAAGUGGAAAGAUUUGCCAUGAGGCAAAUCGCAGCCCUGCCAUUGUUCUUUGGCUCAAUAGAUGACAUGUUAUAUUAUCCAGUAUUUCGGUUUAACUGCCAACAGCAGGAAAGAAGAGGUCCUGUGCUUGUUUGCGUGUGUGUACACACUGUCGAUGCUCGUCUGCAGGGCUAUACAGGCCCAUAUCAAAGAAAACAGCGGAGUUAUUCAUGGCAGAUCUUUCUCAGGCUGGAAGGGCAUUGUUACCCAAGACAGCAUGUCGGAUUGCACAAAAAAAAAAGUUUUACAAGUUACAAUCGCAAUCUUGAUUCGUUUCUGUAGGUGGGGCUGUGGUUUAGCAUGGGUCAAUUGGAGGGAGGUGUUUGGGAACAAGCUAGAGAGGUAAUUGCUACACUGACACACCUGAGCCCUUGUGGGGGCUAUAAACAAUAUAAAACAAUAUUAAUAAAGCAGUACAACAAUAUUAUUUGUUUUGAAAGAGAUAAAGUUUUACGUUACAUUACUGACUGACUACCAUGUUAAGACUCUGAGCCAAAAACAUAAAGCUUGCAUGCACUCUUACCCUGGAUCUGCUGUGCUCUCAAAGUAGAACACCGCCGAGUUACAUACUAGAUACAACUUAUAGGUUCUCAGUGCAAUCUGACUCAAGAGCAGUGUUCAUUCUGUAUCAUCUGCACUCAGCCAACCAUCGCAGAAAACAGAGCAAUGACCAGACGCUGUAUAACAUGACCUCACAACUCACCUGAAGUGCGGCAACUCGGCAAGGCUACCAAAGAAAAAGGGGAGAACAACGUAAACAACGGAAAGCUAAGAGUGAAUUUUAAAACAACUCAACCACCCACUUGCAGUGAGAAGAAGAAAUAUUUAUGCACUGAAUAUUAAAUUCCCGAUUACUGAACAAACAGUGACUAAAUGUCUGAAAUAACUGAAUGUGGUAAGUGAGUCAUGGCUGCGUUUUGCUAGAAACAUCAAGCAUUUGUCAAAACCAAUUUUUCCUCACAAGUGGUUUAUUAGUGGAUAUUGGCGAAAGAUCAAAAACAACAACAAAUUAUUUCCCUAGCUGUUAACGCUGCUGGUUUCCUUUUAACUUUGGGAAGAUACAGUGCACCUGUGGCAAUUAUAUAUAUAUAUAUAUAUAUAUACACACACACACAUAUAUAAAUUCUGCUCUCUACCAGAAAAAUUCUGGUUUUCUCGAACAGAGUACAAUUCCCGUUUCCCUCAAUUAUUGUAAGUUGCUCAGGCCCUGAAGCAGCAAACUGCCACCACCAUGCUUGAGCGUAGGUAUGAUGUUCUUUUUGUGGGAUUCAGAGUUUGGUUUACGGCAGAUGUAACGGGACCGCUGUCUUCCAAACAGUUCCACUUUCAACUCGUCGAUCCACAGAACAUUCUCCCAAAAGUUUUGAGGAUCACCAAGGUGUCUUUUGCCAAAAUUCAGACAAGAGUUAAAGUUCUUCUGGGUUUGCAGUGGUUUUCACCUCACCACUCUUCCAUGGAUGCCAUUUUUGCCCAGUGUCUUUCUGAUAGUGGAGUCACGAACGUGACCUUUAUUGAUGCAGGAGAGGCCUGUAGGUGCUUUGAUGUUGUCCUUGGCUCUUUUUUGUCUUCCUGGAUGAGUCGUUGUGUGCUCUUGGAGGAAUUUUAGAAGGUCAGCCACUUCUGGGAAGGUUCACUACUGUACAGAGUUUUUUUCCAUUUGGAGAUAAUGGCUCUCACUGUGGUUCUUUGGAGUCCCAGAGCCUUUGAAAUAGCUUUGUAACCCUUCCCAGACUGAUGCAUCUCAAUCAUCUUCUUCCUCAUUAUUUCUGCAAUUUCUUUCAACUUUGGCAUAGUGUGUUACUGGGUAAGAUCUUUUAACCAACUUCAUAAAGUUCUAUUUAAGUGUUGAUUUGAUGGAACAGGGUUUGCAGUAAUCAGGCCUGGUUGCGUCUAGUCCAGCUGAACCCAUUAUGAAUGCAGAUUCAUAGAUUUGGGGAAUUAGUAACUAUGGGAGGAAAUACAUUUUCACACAGGCCCAGUUGGUAUUGCAUAACUUUUUUGUAUCAAUAAAUAACAUUAUCAUUUAAAAACUGUAUUUUGUGUUUACUCAAGUUGCCUUUGUGUUUUAUCGUAGAUUUUGUUUGCAUUUGUGAAACAAUUUAAUAUGAGACAUACACAAAAACAGAAGAAACCAGGAUUUGGGCAAAUACAUUUUUACAGAACCGUAUACUACGUAUUCGUAGUUUGUGUAAAUAAGAACUUAUGAGCUUAUGAGCAACUUAUAAGUAUGUGACUCACUAAUAUGAUUAAAGAUUUCUACUAAAUAGCCAUUAUUUUUAUUACCGUACAAACAUGCAGUAAAUCAGUAACUCAAAAUGCAGACGAGCAAUCGUUCACAGACAUCUGUCAGAAAACUUUUUUUUGAGAAUUAUGACCUCGAUUAAAAAUUAUGUUUCCCAUUUUAUCAGAGAUUCGUGCCACACCAACAGCAUGUGACUUAAGCGACAAAGUGUCCCUCCUAACUGUUACAUAAUGGCUAUGAAGAGCUGAGAUUACCAUCUAAAGAACACAAUGUACUAAGAAAAAAGCAAGAGAUUCCAGAUGUAGACCUAUUGGGUUUUUUUUUGCUUUCACAAUCCAAAGGUGCAGAAGAAGAUGACCAUGGAGCACAUACUGAGACAGAGAUCAUAAUCUGCGUGUGUGUGCGUGUGUGUGUCUGUUCUUCAGGCACUGACCUCUGGCUGAGCUCAGACAUGAUAGUGAGCACAAACACACACUUAGUUCUGAACCCUGAGGCACUUGGGCAAACUGUCCUCUCUCUCUGUUUUAUGAACCCCAAAACACAUAGAGGGCAUAUUAAAACUAUACUUUAAACUAAGAUCACAUGGGCAGAGGAGAGCGAUCUUACAGCACACUCUAUAGUCCACAGGAAGUGUAUGCAAUUCCCACAUUGAGCAAGACGCCCAAAAGUCACCUCUGAUCUUUCCAAAUCAAGAUUUUCUUUGAGUGAGAUAAACAGUUGUAGCUGCCAACAGACAACAAGUGUUGUCUAAUUUUACUGGUAAAUGACAGAGAAAAUAUUGGAGCUGGAUAGUAACUAAAAUUUUCACACAUUUCAAGGUAAUGAAGUAAUUUGAAAAUCUGAAUAGCUGAAGAUCUCUGCGUUCAAAAAUAGUUUUUCAUUCUCUGGCCAAUCACAUGGAGCUUCUUAUAGCUUAUGGUAGUUUUACUCACUUAAACCCUUCCUCAGGGCAAAACAGAUUUGCGAGGUGUGGCUUAUGCUACCUUUAGUUGCUAAACUAGUGCAGGUUUGGUACUUUUUGGUAUUUCAUUUGAGCUUCUGCUACUAGACCACUGUUAACCAAACUAGCCUUUUAUCUUCCAAUACUAUACAACACACACAGACACACUUUAUAUAGAGAAUAUGGAAUUAACCAACACACACCUCCUACCCAUCUUUCUAUCAGCAGCAAUCAUAUGUUGAGAAAAGAUUUCAAUACUUUUGUUUCAUUCCAUUUGAAAGUUUUAAUCACAAUCAUUACCAGAUUAUAGUUUAUUCACUAAAAAAAGAGAUCUGUUGGCAUUUUUAACAUAUAAUAAACACUGAAAGGUGUUUUCAUAGCACCAGACACACUACGUACUUUCUACGGUAUGCAAUAAAUACCAGUUGUAAAAUAGAAAUGUUUCUUUGCUUGAAGUUUCCUGCGAGUCUUAUUUUUCCAAUCCAAAUAUCCGUUCUGCUGACGUGGAAGGUCCCACACAGACACCCUAAAGAUGUACACUUCUUAAAUCCAGUUUAUGCCCAAGUAUCAUCCUUCAGAUAAUCUUACCUACUGCUGCAGUAAUCAUAAAAACUGUCCUUUGCUCAUCCCAGGACUCUUAGUCACGAUUUGCUCAUACUGAACAUCCUGUAAACACACACUGACUUUAUAGUGUACAGUCUCAUAGAGUACUGAUUUAUAAUCUUACUAUCGCAACACCCAGAAGACGAUGGGUUCCCUUUUGUAUCUGGUUUCUCUUAAGGUUCCUUCCUCAUGCCAUCUCAGGGAGUUUUUCCUUGCCACCGUCACCUCUUGUUCAUUAAGAUCUAAAUUCGUAUCCUGAUUUCUGUAAAGCUGCUUUCUGACAAAAGCCCUAUUCGGACAGGAUUGUAUUUAUAUGGGGUCCUGGGGUAAUUUCUUAUUUUACAGGUGCUACUCUGUGAUUCCGUUUGCCUCCGGGUCAGCCAUGUCGGUGUUUUUAUCCAUCCUCCUCUGAGAAAAUUACAGGUCAAACUGCCUACUGUUUAUCGCCAAACUCAGCGAUCGUCUAUUAAUUUUAGUCUCAUCCUGACAAAGUCCAUGAUUUUCUAUGCAGAUCCUUGACUACUGCAACUAUUUAGUCUCGUAGUGCAGGUAUCACUGACCCUCCCCCAGAUAUUAUAAACACUUCCCAUAUCGAGAAACAAAAAAUGUAUCCUUUCUGAUAUUAUGAUUAUUAAUUGUUGCUAGAACUUUAGUUCAACCCAAACUAAAUAACAAUCUCUUCUGUACUCCAGUGCCUCUUCAAAAGCUUGGACGCCAUGUUGUAAAUGGAGCAUGAUCAUAUUACCACAUGGUGCAAACAUCCUGGUUUGGAGAAAAUACAACCUGCUAGAGACUUAGGCCCUGUUUACACUAGUGAGUUUUCGUUUGAAAACGCCGUUUUCAAUCGAAAACGAUCCGUGUCCACACUGGCGUUUCCGCUGUGUUUCAGAAACAAUCUCCGUCCACACUACACGACUGAAUGCGAAUGUCACAUGACCAUUCAUGCACACUGGGCAUGCGCAUACAAAUGUAAACAGGAAGUUGGUUGCUUCACCGGCAGGCACAACAAACCGGCGUCCCACGUCGGGCUUACGCUGCUUGAAAUGGGAUUUGUUGCCGAUUCCUCUAAUCAUAGCUCGCCUCUUACGCAUGUAGCAGCUUCAGUAUUAUAAAAUACAGAAUUUAAUUGCACAAUGGCUGCUAAGAAUGACAACAACGCCAGCAAAGCUUGCGUUCCAGUCUCCGUGAUCAAAUCAGGAAGCAAAUGCUUCUAAGCGAAGGUCUGUUCACACUGAAACGCGAGCCCGGAGUUUUCAAACUUAAACGGGGUCUUCUGCGUUUCCGAAAGAUUCAGUUUUCGAGGGUAGUGCUAGUGAGCCAGAGUAGUGAAAAGUUAUGUGUUUUAAAAUGUAAACGCACUAAUGUACAUAGGCCUUACUCCCCCUGUGGUCAGUUUAUUGCUGUCCGGGUGCAAGAGUUUGAUUAAUGAGAAGUAUAUAAAAAAAAAAAAAAAUUUUAAAAGCAUCAUCAACACCCCCCUGAUAAACUCUUCGAAUACAAAUAGGGCUAUUGUUACAUGCAGUAUGCAAAAAAUGGGGGGACUGAAUAUAGAACAUGCAAUUCAACAAACAAAACAAGGGAGCAGAGUGGUGGUGUUAGAGCACAAUGUGUGUAUCUAUGUUGUUUGGGGGGGGGGGGGGGGGGGGGUGUUUAUAAAUGUCAAGCCACAGCUUUUACAUCUGAGAGCCUGAACUGGGUUCAAAAUUAAAUCUUGUCGCACAAGCUGCUUAAAAGGGUCAUGAGGGGGCACAGCUAAUCAAAAGCAAGACAGGCCUGUCUGUUAAUGUAAUAUGUAGAGAGAAAAAGGUCCAAAACAAACAGGCCUGACCUCUGUUCAGACACAAAGACAGAGUGGUUAAACCAAGCAUUCUGUAGUGUAAACACUGCCAUAUGUUCCUAUAAUAAUUACUUACUCGUGUCUGUAUCUGAUGCACACAGCUGUUAUUAGCAACCUGAAGCUCCAUUUAAAGCAGCACAUGGCAAUGUUAUCUGUAAUUUAUUUAGAUCUAUAGCCCUGGGCUAACAAGGUAUUCAUUGAGUUAAAAUACACACACAGGCACAGAGAGAGAGAGAGAGAGAGAGAGAGAGAGAGAGAGAGAGAGACAUAAAUGUGAUGGAAGAACAAUAUAAUGUUAUUACAAAUGAAACAUGUCAGUAAUAGACAUGUGAUGUAAUAGAUUAGCUGUUCAAAUAAUGUAAGUUUUAAAAUACGCUCUGAUCCCCCCACACACACACACACCUGAGACCUGCACCAACAUGAUGGGGGAAUGAUGAACAGGGGGCUUGUGUUUUGGGUUUUCCCCCCAAGCGCUUGAUGAAGAAGAUCUGUCACUGUUCCAUACCUACACAAAUCCCUUGAUAGAGAUGCCCGGGUCGUGUGAUGGACAGCGUGUCAUAUCUGAUGCUGAAAUCCCUGACGUUCAGACGAAAACACAGGACUACAAUUACAAACUACAAUUACAUCCUACAGAGUGAAUGACAAAGAGGGAAAACUGGCCACAUGCUCAAACGUGUACAGAAAAUCAGCAGUGACGGGACGUGAUUUACAAAACAAAAACAAAAACAAAAUGUACAGUACAGGUCAUGUUAAGCCUAAAACCUGAAAGCCAUACAGUUGCUAUAUAAUAUACAACAGACAAUGCUUCUUGUGAGACUGGUGAUGUGUACUGUAGGCUGUUUGUUACAUGGAACAAGCCUGUGUUUCAGAACGUGGUUGAUUUGGCAAAGCUGCAUGGACAGGAUGCAGGGUUCGCUUUAAAACCCAAGGGAAGAAGAUCAAACAGUGGGUGGGAAGGAUCCUUAAGGAUAUUUAAUCUAAUCUUCUGCAUAUGAGCAAAAAACUAAUUUCUCAAUAACUACAAUGCUGUAGAAGCUGUAAAUCGGCAGAUAUUUGAUAUUUCCAACAGCUUUAAAAGCCCCAUGGCUGGAUGGAAGCUCACAGAUCCUAUUGUACUGGAGGAAUUCCCACUGAUAAAAUCGUUAGUACUGUAGGGCAGUUAGUCAAAGCAGCCCACACUAUUGACAUAAGCUCAACCAAUCACUAAUGACGUCCGCCGACCCACCCUGAUCUCCACAAAACGCAGAUUUAAAAAGUGCUGUCACGGUCGUAUUCACACCAGGAGUGAGCACGUAGUCACACGAGGAGUGAGCUACUGCGACAGUGUCACAGAGGUUCCAGAUUAUUAAUGACAAUUAAUCUGAACUGUACAGUGUCACGUGUGACACUAGAAUUAAAACACUAGGAUGAAAAAGCUGUUACAUGCUAAAUCUAUAACCUGAACGGAUUCUUCUGUUGUCUCUCUGGGGGAUUCCUUAAAGAAUCUGAUGCUGUGGCUGAAUUCUGGCAAGACUUCUGGCAAAGACGGGUUUUACUGCAUUAUAUGAUUCCUUUAUUUUAAGAAACCUUAAAUAUAGUUCACCGCGAUGACCUGGAAAUCUAUAUUUCUUUUAUUUCCUUUUCAGUCUUGUUUAGAUGAUCUUUCUGCGAAGAUCACUUUGGAUAAGGAGCCAGUUUAAAAGCGCUCGUGAAAAUAAGUGUGAUUUCCUCAUCCGGUGAAUCGGAGUUGUUAUCAGAGCUAUGGGAAAUACUGAAAUGGGACACACCUGAAAACGCCACGGAUAUUUUCCAGUCCAUGUUAAUAGCAAAAACAUUAUUCAUACAGAUAGAAGACACAUUUUAAUAGAGAAUAUCUUUUAAAAUGCAUAACUGGAUAAUUAAAAAAAAUAUGACAAACGUCAUAGUGGGGAAAAAACAAAACUAAACACUUUCAUUAAUUAAAUGUUGUCACUGACUACGUGUACAUGGACAGCAGUAAUCUAAUUAUUGACCUUAUUCUGAAUAAGACAAUAAUGUGAUUAAGGUGUUUACAUGAGUCACUUUUAGAAUACUCCUCUCAUGUUCCUGUUUUACAUGUUAUAGAUCAUAGAUCAAUUAACGGCACACGCCAUUACGUCACCACGCCACGCCGUCCGACGUUCCCUCCAGAAUUUCACGUAUCAACAUACAGUUCGUCUUUGUUAUGGUACCAUAUACAGUUUUGGGUGUGUUUAUUUUUUAUUUUACGAAAGCUUCGAGUGCAGUUCAUUAUUUGUCAUGCUGUACGUGGGCUGCGUCUCAAACCGCGUACUUACCUUCUAUAUAGUAGUUGAGAUACAUGUAUUUCAUCUACUAUAUAGUAGGCAAGUACGCGGUUUGGGACGCGGCCGUGCUCUCUUGUUUGCCGUCAAACGGUUGAGCGCUGCCGUAUGUGUACGUGUCCUGUCGCAAAAUGUGGUGAAAACUCCCACACGAUGUUAAUAGUGUGAUUAAGGUGUGUACAUGUCUGUAAUACACGUCGAUAAUGUGACUAAAACAGGAAUACUCCACACGUCUCAAUUCCAUUUGUGUUUACUUCGAGUAUGACUUUAAUCGGAUUAAGGUCAUAAAAAAAAUCGCUGUUUACAUGCUAGUUUCUUAAUCAGAGUAUCGUCUUAAUCGGGUUAAUAUCGGAUUAUUGUUGUCCAUGUAAACGUAGUGACUGUGUAUACACACCUGUAAUCUGAAUACACUCGACACAAUCAAAUAAAACACUUCAAAUAAAGUCCUCAAGAAUAGUCAGGAGUCCAGCAGAUGUGAGUUAUUAAAAGGGUAAAUAGACCGAUUAAAUACAUUCGCUUGCUUGUGGUUUCUCUACAAAUCAUACACACCAGAGUAAAUAUAGUGUUUUCUGUUUCGUGAAUAAAUGCAGAUGUUCUUCAGCACAUGCUCUUUUAUCACACAGAGCCACAUGAGGAGAGAUUGUUUGCAGAGCAUGACUGAAAAAACUCAAAUGGAGCUACUGAUGGACCGUCGCACUACUGAUUAAUCAUGUGCAUUGUAAAUCUUAUGUCUUUAAGUAGUGCUGUUCAAUUCUUGAUAAAAUAGGAGUUGGUUUUUUCUUUUUUUGGGGGCUUAGAACGGCGAUAAUUAUUCUUACGCAUGAUACUCUAACCCGUUUGUAGGGAGCAAUAUUUAGCCUAUAUUUAUUCAAUUCUUACAUUACUUUAGCAGACCAUAAUAGCUACAUGUUCCUGGCGGAUGUUUAUAAAUGACAGUCUACAUUUUGAAUUAGUGAUUUACGGCAUGUUAGUACUGAAGAUGCUGAAAAAAAAAACCCCACUAUGUAGUAUAAAACUUUAAUCACAUUCGGGUGCUAUAGGUGCAGUGCAUCUUCCUAAAUUUCACAAAGGAAAUCAGGAACAUUAACAGCGGGUGAAAUAACUAGUCGUCUUUCUGUUCAUAUGUCAAUAGCAACAUAUAACCCACUUUUUAAGCGACAAUAUAUAACCAAGUUUUAAGCGACACAGCGCAGGAUUCACUCGUUCAUUCAUUCAUCUGUGCAGCUCUCAUUUGUUUAUAAGCAUUCGUUUCGGAUACAUUUGUUCCUUCUCACUAAAAGUAGGUGGUGCAUUUCUUUUUUAACGUUGUUUCUCCCCUUUUAUUCUGUAGACUCGUCGAUCCUCAGGUGUGACUAUGAGAUCGUUUUGUAUGUCUAUACUCAUUGUUCUCUGUGAAUAAGCAGGAAUAGUGGCGCUUUGUUUUAUGAGAUGGAAGUCCAGAUUGUACCAACACCAAAAUGUUCUCGGAUCAAAUUGUGUUGAGAAAUUAAUUUUUUGAUUUUCGCAAUUAUCAGUUCAAUAAACCAUUGACAGGAUCCUAUCUGUGAUAUUUGAACUUUUAGCACGUAAGGCUACAUAAACUUCAUAGCAAGUGCAACAAGGUAUAAAAAUAAACACUGGAAGAACUGAAAAAGGUUCAUAAAUAUCUUCACCACACAGUAAGUUAACAUUAUGAAGUUACAAUGCUGUCUGAAACACAAAUAUCUAUCUCAUGGAUAUUCACUCCCACAAAACACAUGCAGCUAGUGCGCCGAACACACACACAUGCACGAGGCUUUUUUUCUGCAUAGACAGGACAGAUGAUGUAGCAGCUUUCAAAAAAAAAAAAAAAACACACACACACACACAGUCCCACAAUCAUUAACCUCUGACCUCUAUUUCCAAACUGACAGACAUUUGAGAAAUGACUCUCAGGCUUUACAAAGAAUCUCACUCUCUGUCUUUCAUAAAUAUCUAAUGAAAAAAGCUCAAUCACCGGCCAACAUGAGUGUGUAUACAUGUCUCGUGGAUUUAGUGGGAUUGUAAUGAAAGCCUAAUCUUUAUUUCAAACAGAGUGCCUUAUAAAAAAAAUAAUAAAAAAAAAGACCUUAUAAAAAGUAAAACCACACAGAAACCACUCAGGCUUAAUGCAUUUGAUGGCAUCAGCUGAACAGACACACAACAAAGCUCCACUAUACAGGACAUGCCAAAUCUGAUAGUAAACAAUAGAUCUGUGAUUUACUGACGUAAGGAGUGUAAGAACUGUGAACUCCAGUCAGAAGUCAUGUUUAGGAAAGAUGAGCUGGAGAUAUAAAUAGAACCAGACUCAUCUAGACUAUCUUGCGGAGUUGCAUUAGAGGGAAGAUUAAGGAAACACCUUGUGUAUUCUGGCUCGAGGGAAUGCUGCUUGGCAAGGGCGUUGUUAAUGCCUCAGUUUUACAUGGAGACCACACGGGACUGCCAGUCAUUCUAAUCAGGCUGACUGGAAGUGAACACUACCAUUUCUUUGUGUUGCCAUGACCAAAGACAAUGUCUUUCUAUGACAGAUGUUCUAAUCCAUAUUUUGGUAUAUUCUGAUAACACUUACUCUAUUCUGUUUUCAGAAAACCUUCCUUCUUCAUGAAACAUGUUUUGCUAUGCAAAUAAACAUGAUUAAGAUGCAAAUUAGUCUAUGGAGUCAUCUGUCAAUUUGUAGCGUCAUUUUGAGCUUGCACUGGCUCAAAGAGAAAAGAGUUGUCCACACUGGCCCAAACUGUGACCUCGUAAGGUCAAGCUAACAUCUGAAUAAAACUCUUCAGUUGUGGUCAUUCGUACCAUUUGUAAAUAGUUUGGUUUCAUUGUGUAGUUAGGUUCUGAAAAGGAAGGCUAAAUACAGUUGCAAUCGAUUUUCAGUUGAAUUCGGGGAAACCACUUGAAGCAUUCGCUGUGUCGAACUAUUUCGAUUGCUUUUGUUUGAUUUGUUCAUCGCAAACAGCUGAAAGUCUGUCAAUUCUGACAAUUAACCUGAUUUGCAAUGGGGGUUGUAUCAUUUUGAUCGCAACUUUGUAGAAGUGAAUAUAAUCUAUUCAAAUACAAACUGACAAAUGACAAAACAAAUCCAAACAGAGCCGGGGAUACUGUUAACACUUUGCAUAUAUUUUGUUUCCAUCACUGUGAUCUGGAUGAGUGCUAUUGCUAAAACGACUGCCUGACUCACGCGAGGCAUACUCAAAGCACACUUCUGAUUACACUGCGAGGCACGUGUAAAACAUACCUCAGAUACAUCAUCCGUGCAGCAGAGAAUAAAAAGAGUGAAGAGAUGUGGCAAGAGACAGGCUACACAAAGACAUGAGAAACCAUGAUGGUCUAAUAAAUCAAGGAAGAAGAGAGAAAAAGAGAGAAAGAGUCAGUGUUGCAAAGUCGAAGUCAGUAAAGAAGAACAAAUUCACCCUCGACGGAGUGCUCAAUACUUUCAGAAACAGUCAUGCAGAAUCUUCUCUUUCACUCUUUUACCGCUUCCACUUCUAUGUCUGCUUGCUGUUUACUUACAAUAACAGUGACAAAGUAAUUAAAUCCAGGCAUUCUUCCUAAACAAAAAAAUAAUAAUGCAAACGGAUAAUAAAAAGCCUUACAUACUAUAUUUAAGGAUGUAAUUUGUUCCAGAGCAAUAUGUAUAUAAUCCUGGUUCAGGUUUAAUGAUCUAUAUACUUUGUUAAUUGAAAGAAAUCAUUCUGUCUAGGAGGAUCAAAAACAUGCAGCGAUUCUGUUUUACUUAAAGCAAGUCAUUGCUUUCAGGAAAUAACCAGAUUAGUUGUGAUAGGAGGAAACUUGAGGAAACACAAACAGCUGAAACACAGAGCACGUACUUUAAAAACACACAAGACUGAAGUGCGACGAAUCAUCCUGUGAUAUUAAAGCUGAAUGGACUCUGCCAAUACACUUGAUGUACAUCACAUACACACACACACGUGGUUUUCCCCAAACUGUUCCCACAUUGAAAGUUGAAAGCAUGGAAUUGUACAAAGUGUCUUUGUAAUAUGAGGCAGCAUUACAGUUUCCCUUCACUGGAACCAAGAGAUCCAAACCUGUUCCAGCAUGGCAGUGAUUGGUCCUCUGCACAAAGCGAGCUCCAUGAAGACAAGGUUGGCCAAGGCUGUUGUGGAAGAACACGAGUGUCCUGCACAGUGCCCUGUCCUCAACUCAACUGAACACAUUUGGGAUGAACUGGAACACUGACUGAACCCCAGGCCUCCUCACCCGAAAUCAGUGCCUGACCUCACUAAUGCUCUUGUAGCUGAAUGAUCACACAUCCCACACUGAUGGCCACGCUCCAAAAUCUAGUGGAAAGCCUGAUAUGACCUUUCACCUUUAAAGGAUAAAUUUAACCAGGACUCUAUUUAUUCAUUUAAUAUGUUUGUCACUCAGGGCUUUCCCAUGUGUUGAAGAAAUCUAGCUCUCUUUCAUAUCAUAUAUCAUCUCAUACCAUAAUGAACUUUCUUUUACUAUCCGGUGUUACCCAGAUGAGGACGGGUUCCCUUCUGAGUCUGGUUCCUCUCAAGGUUUCUUCCUCAUAUCAUCUUAGGGUGUUUUUCCUCACCACCGUCCCGCUCGCUCAAUUUGUAUAAAUUCACACACUUAAAAUCUGUAUCCCAUGUUUAUACGUUUCUGUAAAGCUCAUUUGAGACAAUGACCAUUGUAAAAAGCGCUAUACAAAUAAAAUUGAAUUGAAUAUCAAUAUUGUGAGAAAUUAUGUCAUGAUACACUUUUCUGAAAUAUUGCUAAUAUCAUUAUUUUUUUUGAAUAUUCAUUUUUUAUUCAAAUAGGUUCAACAACUAGAAAAAGACAAAAAAUAAAAGCGGCCUACUACUUAUUGACUUUCGCGAGAUGAAUGUUUUCAUUUAAUAAGUAAGCACUGUUCAAGUAAGCACACUUCAGUUUGCUGUGAUGCACCUUGAUGCUCUAACUAUAGUGCCUUAUUUAGAAUAUUGAAACCAGUCCUGACAGUUCUACUAAUUAUUGUGUGGGGACGGCAGACAUUUUUUCCUAAUCAGGAAGACACAGUUACAUGGAAACACCAAUGAAACAGAAAAAAUAACGUACACAGCAUUCACCAGAAGUCACCGUAUGGUUAAUCAUAUUAAGAGGUAAAAUAAAGAAGCUAGCCAGACUUAAAUAAUAUCAUUCAUGUGCACUGCGAGGACACAACACCAUGUCUCAUAGCUGAAAUGUUAGCCAACUUAUCACUUUUUGGCCUAGUCAGUUUCCAGGGAAACCUAACCUCAAGACUGGGCAGCACACUGAAGCCUUUUCCUUUGCCUAUUGUGGUAGCUAAUUAAUUUAUGAUUUUAUCCACCCCUGAGUAGGUCCAUAAUGUACCUAGACUGGAGUGCUACUGAUCUUGUUACUGAUAUUGGAUAUGAAUCUGGCUGCUGAAGGAUCUGAACUGGUUUGGGUUCAGUACUGGCAAGAAUGACUUGUCUACAGCCUAUUACAUACACUUAUUAGAUUAGAUCAAAAUGUGAGAACACGGCACUGUUUGAAUUCAACAGCUCUGAGCAGAAAGAGUGACAGAGUGUGAGCGAUGAAAUAAAAAAAUAUAUAUAUAUUUUUUAAAAGACACAUUCCAUGUGACUGUGCUGAAAAAUGAGGGGUUUAACCUAGAGUUAGGAUAUUUUCCCCAUGAGGCAAUAUCUGCUUGAGAAUGGUGAUGUCAACACUGGAACGUUUCCCACAACAUCAAGUAAAGGUGCAGCUGAGGAGCAAGAGGAAGGAACAGGCAAGAGUUCCUGCAGGAAAAGUGAAAGUCAGCAAGCAGCACUGACACUCAAUCACUCCAUCAUUCUGUAUGGAUGAGCAGUUUUAUCCUGUGCCCCAGCCUCUCCCUCCUUCCUCUCUCUUUCUCUCGCUCUGCAGUGGGCCUGGGCUCUUAUCCCAUUCCUCUCCUUUCUCAAGAGUUAAUCAGGGAGUGAGUGUGAAAAACAGAGAAACAGAGUGACUGAGAGAGAGAGAGAGAAAGAGAGAGAGAGAGAGAGAGAGAGAGAGAGAGAGAGAGAGAGAAAGUGAAGAGAGCAAUGUUAACAUUCCCACACUCUCAGUGCCUCAUGUAGUCUGCAUCAGAGGCUGUAUCUUCAAAUCCAGCUGUAGACCUUGAUAAAUCACCCAGGGACAAUACCUGUACCUUAUACCUCACCACACACACACAAAAAAAACAAGUAUAAGGAGGAUCUGCAAAGAUAACUAUUCUUCUCUUUCUUUUUUUCAAAAACCAAAACAUCUACGUGUUAAUCUACAUGUUAAAUGACCCUCAUCACUUGAGACAGAAAAUGGAGGCUGAAUAAAUACAAAUGAUAUAUGGCAUAAUAUAUCUCAUAAUUUGUUGUAGAAUUACAUUUUAUAAAACAUGCGAUAAUGCAAGUAGUUCAUUUCCAGAAGGCACUUAUUUGCUUUUUCUUCUAUGUCAAAAAGUGUUCUUAUUUACUUGUAGUGCACUUUGAUGCCAUUAGGUUAUACCCUAUGUAGUGUGCAUGCAUACUCAACAGAAGGGACAGCAUAGAGAGAAGUCGUUCCCUUUAAAAAAGGGGAACUAGCUAAGGCUAGAAAGCUAGAAAGCCGGUCAUCUUUGUUUUGACCGUAGCAUUGCGAGAUCACAAUAAACCACAAAUAACCAAUAGUAGUGUACUAACAAGCCUAAAGUCAAGCUCUUGUUGAGAGGUUGUAUAUAAUUACAUCCUCCGAGUCUCAGAGAGAAUGCUGUUUGGGAUGCAACCCUAAAUUCUGUGCCUCUUGCACUUGUCAGUUAAAUUAAGUAAUUGUUUAAAAGUGCGCAGCAUAACCGACGUUACAAAAUGUUCUACCACAAGGAGCUUGCAAUGGCAUCUUUCUACCAAAGAGGGCGACCUUAGCAUCCAGCAGCAAGCCUGAAUGCGAUUUAGAUUUUUUUUUUUUAAAAUGCUAUAGUGUUUGACUUCUUCACCCUGCCCGUGAAAUAGUGCUUAAUGAUGACAGCGGGAAUGGGACAGUCCAGAAAAAGGUCUAAAUCAGACAGAGGAGACAGGGAGAAACAAUGACAAACUAACAGGGAGGGAGGUGUGAAAUUGAGGGUGGCAGUCUACUGAAAGCAAUGACAUGAGAUUUAUUUUAUUCCACUGUCAAGGACAAAAGCUCAAUAGGCAUUCAUUUCAAGCCAUUAUUUUAACAACCGAUUCACUUUGCUAUCCUCCUCGGUCUGACUUUUUCUCACUGGCCUCUGACUGUUAACUGGUUUGAAACAUACGUGUUAUAUGUGUUUUAUUUUAGCCUCCACUAUAGCAUGGUAGAGAAUAUAACAACACUGUUAUCUGUCAUGAAAACAUCAGACAGGUAGAUCUGUUCUCCUUACAAAAUUCUACAAACCAUCCCGACAUAAAAACACCACAAGCGCAUGAAAAGCAUUUUAAAAGCUUCAUGCAAUAACAAUGUGGCACUGAAACAUAAUUAUGAGAGGGGGAAAUGACAGGGAUUUAUGCUAACUUCAUUAAUUGUGAGAUAAAAGCAUAAACAGGGAAAAGAAUAAUUGAACAUACACUGCCAGCAAGACUCACUUUACCUCAAACCGUAGAGUAAAUUUUGUGAAAAAGGUACAUAGAGAGAGAGAGAGAGAGAGAGAGAGAGAGAGAGAGAGAGAGACAGUGAGUUACACUACUGACUCCUGAGAGAGUGUUUUGAGAGAGAUAUGAUUAGGGGCUGCAAGAGGACAGAGUGAAUUCCACAAACAGGUGGAAAGAGAGAAACAGAGAGAGAGAGAGAGAGAGAGAGACACACACACACACACACAGACACUUACCCUCAGUAGAGCCCACAGCAGCCACAAAACUCUGCAACUUUCAAUAACUUUCGAUAAACGCUUCACUCUUAAACCAUAAACAAAUCCCUGUACCAGAGCAGCACUCGCAGAAACACACAGUGUGCGAGAGGCUGUAUCGAGUGCACUGAGUAGAUCUACACGCACGCACGCACACGCACACACACACACACACACUCCUAACUUCACUCUGGGAAUGUCAGGGAGUCUGUUAGAUCAUCCUGGACAAGCUCCUCCCCUUUCUCUCUAACCAACUACCCUAACCAAAUCCCUCUCACUCUCCUUCUGCGAGGGGCAAAAUCGCCGCUGCUCUCCUCCCACAGGCCUGCCGGAGCAUGUGAGAGCCUCACUCAGAUCAGACCCUCUCUUUCAUAUGCACAAUCCCAUACACACUCCUGCCCCAUCAGAAAAUACCCCAGGAGCAUCAGAAAAGACAUUUUCAGCCAUUGUAUUUUAGCCAAGCAAUUGUUCAGACUCUUGUUAUGGCUGCUGACUCAUAGCUGGUAGAUACAGUCUGGUCCAUAAGUAUUUGGACAUUGACAUAAGUCAAAGAAAAGGAAUUUUCUUACAUGUCGGAGUCAGUCACCUGACCUCAACCCAACUGAACAUGCUUUUCCUUUACUGAUGAUAAGACUGAAGGUACAAAGACCUACAAACAAGCAGCUACUGAAG